rnacentral:rRNA from 1 species
AGAGUUUGAUCCUGGCUCAGGACGAACGCUGGCGGCGUGCUUAACACAUGCAAGUCGAGCGGAAAGGCCCUUCGGGGUACUCGAGCGGCGAACGGGUGAGUAACACGUGAGUAACCUGCCCUUGGCUCUGGGAUAAGCCCGGGAAACUGGGUCUAAUACCGGAUAUAACCACCGAACGCAUGUUCUGGUGGUGGAAAGUUUUUCGGCUGGGGAUGGACUCGCGGUCUAUCAGCUUGUUGGUGGGGUGAUGGCCUACCAAGGCGACGACGGAUAGCCGGCCUGAGAGGGUGACCGGCCACACUGGGACUGAGACACGGCCCAGACUCCUACGGGAGGCGGCAGUGGGGAAUAUUGCGCAAUGGGCGGAAGCCUGACGCAGCGACGCCGCGUGGGGGAUGAAGGCCUUCGGGUUGUAAACCUCUUUCACCACCGACGAAGCUAACGUGACGGUAGGUGGGGAAGAAGCGCCGGCUAACUACGUGCCAGCAGCCGCGGUAAUACGUAGGGCGCAAGCGUUGUCCGGAAUUAUUGGGCGUAAAGAGCUCGUAGGUGGUCUGUCGCGUCUGCCGUG